UUCCAUUAAUCAGAGAUACAUGUCAUUUACCCAUUAUUCUGAUCUAUCUGAAAACACUUUGAACCUGUGAUCCUGAACAUGUCACUACAUUCAUACACAUAUCAUUGCAUCUGCAAUCAUCAUUCAUUGCAUAUCAUUUUUCAGCACAAAAUAUAUACAAAAAAAAAACUCAUCCAUCCUUCGGCCAUAACCUGCAGUUGAUUUCCCGACACUAAUAUCAGAC
rnacentral:lncRNA from 1 species